rnacentral:rRNA from 1 species
ACGGGGCGCAGCAGGCGCGAAAACUUUACUAUGCAGGCAACUGCGAUAGGGGAACAUCGAGUGAUCCUCAUAUUGGGGGUCUGUCGCACCGUCUAAAAACGGUGAUUAGCAAGGGCCGGGCAAGACCGAUGCCAGCCGACGCGGUAAUAG